GGAGCAGUAGCUCUGUGGUAGAGCUUGCGCUUCGUAUGCGGGAAAACCUGGGUUCCAUGCCAGGCUGCUUCA
rnacentral:tRNA from 1 species